GCGUGGGGAGCAAACAGGAUUAGAUACCCUGGUAGUCCACGCCCUAAACGAUGUACACUAGUUGUUGGGGUGCUAGUCAUCUCAGUAAUGCAGCUAACGCAUUAAGUGUACCGCCUGGGGAGUACGGUCGCAAGAUUAAAACUCAAAGGAAUAGACGGGGACCCGCACAAGCGGUGGAGCAUGUGGUUUAAUUCGAAGAUACGCGAAGAACCUUACCUGGGCUUGAUAUCCUAAGAACCUUUUAGAGAUAAGAGGGUGCUAGCUUGCUAGAACUUAGAGACAGGUGCUGCACGGCUGUCGUCAGCUCGUGUCGUGAGAUGUUGGGUUAAGUCCCGCAACGAGCGCAACCCACGUAUUUAGUUGCUAACGGUUCGGCCGAGCACUCUAAAUAGACUGCCUUCGUAAGGAGGAGGAAGGUGUGGACGACGUCAAGUCAUCAUGGCCCUUAUGCCCAGGGCGACACACGUGCUACAAUGGCAUAUACAAUGAGACGCAAUACCGCGAGGUGGAGCAAAUCUAUAAAAUAUGUCCCAGUUCGGAUUGUUCUCUGCAACUCGAGAGCAUGAAGCCGGAAUCGCUAGUAAUCGUAGAUCAGCCAUGCUACGGUGAAUACGUUCCCGGGUCUUGUACUCACCGCCCGUCACACCAUGGGAGUUGAUUUCACUCGAAGCCGGAAUACUAAACUAGUUACCGUCCACAGUGGAAUCAGCGACUGGGGUGAAGUCGUAACAAGGUAACCGUAGGAGAACCUGCGGUUGGAUCACCUCCUUUCUA
rnacentral:rRNA from 2 species